rnacentral:lncRNA from 1 species
UUGGAAGCUGAUGUAAGUCCAUCGAGUGGCAUUUGGGUUCCAGUGUGGGUUUGUUGGUUCGGAUGCUGAUGUAAGUCCAGUGAUUGGCAUUCAGGCUCCACGUUUGCCUUUGCCUGUGUUUGUUUGUGUGCGUGUCAGCCGAGCUACGAAUGCUCUGAUUCUUCUCUCGUCCGAGAAGAUACGUAUGCAUAGGAUGCGAUAUCCUAGCGAGCAUGUGUCGUUUCCCCAGUCCGAACUACUUCGACUCUGAUGUCUAUGCCUGAUAGACUAAGUAGGCCCAGGAUGCGAUAUUCUGCCGAGUCAGUCUUGUCUGUUUUC